CUUUGACCAUCUUCUUAUCUAUAUCUGCGAUGGGAUGUAAAUUCAUUAUAUCUCUUGGCGAAGAAUCCCGAGAGGAAUCUGUUCCGUGGCGGUUGAUGCCUUGGACGCGGCCAAAACCCGUAUUGGCAACUUUGAGAGGGCGAGUCAUUGAUUUCGUAAGGAACCCAACCUCGAGUAAAGAAUAUUGGCUUUUAUGAUUAUGCCAUGCCAUGAGAAUUAUGUCGACCUAAGUUAUGAUUGGCAUAGAUUUGGCCAGUAGGUGAUUUGACAUUUGAGAGCCCAUUCACGACUAUGCUUGCAUCUGUGGAGCUUAAGCUCUGAGAGUUUUUAUGCAGGGAUGUAGGAGCAUUAUGUUUCUUGGUUUUUUGUGGGUCUAGGCCUCAAAAGGAGCACUCGAAGCAAUCUUAAUUAGAAGAUGGCGAUUAUUAAGGGGCGGGUGUUUGAUUUUUGAAUAAUUCAACCGGACAUUUCUUGUCUGAUGCGGGACUUAAAAUGCCACAGAUGCAUAUCCCUCGUAGCUCUCGAUAUCGCGUGCAGAUGCAUCUCGGACCCUUUCUAUUUUUCUCGACGAGGUAUUACGUUUUGAGCGGGAAGUACGGAGUUCAUUUUCAGAGAAGAGUCAAAUAUUGCCAACUGACAUGUCAGGUGCCGUAGGAGGUGGUAAGUAAGCGAAGGCAUGUGCGUGUUCUUAGUAAAAAAGGAAGACUUAAGGCGCCGGAAUGGAACGCGAUGAGAGAUGACCGAGGUUGCAGAAACGGUCACGGCUGGGAGAGAAGCCGCCCGAGGUUGACCGCAUCUGAGGCCUACAGCCUCAUUGCCACGUAAUCCCUCCCUCUCUCAUUGUCUUCGCGUGAAAUAAUUAUUCCCCCAUUAGCGUAUUAGCUUAGCCACCUUCCCUUUAAGCUCAAGGCAGUAAGCACUCCAUUGAUCAGCAAAAGCAGCCGUGAUGAACGGAUCUCAUUGAGCUUGCAUUCGGCAGUCGCCAGAUUUGCUGAUGGCCCUUCUUCACCUCUACUUCGAAACGAACGUGGGCACGUUCGCACGGGGAAGAGGCUGUGCCCUCAUCUCACGGUUGCCAUAUUUUCUCUGCCCUUGACAUUUUGACAGCAGCUGCACCAGGUCGCGCGACCAUCGAUCAUAUAUCGGGCACCGUUUUCAGUGCUUCCGGUGCAAGAAAAAACAAACGAAGAAGAACUUCCUUUCAAUCUCCAUCGGUCCUGCGAAGACAAAAGCAUCCCCUCCUGUUCAGAAGAAUUUUUGCCGCUGCUCGACACGAAGUUCUCGAUAAGUCUCGAAAGACAAAACGCAUCCGAAGCGUGGACAAUGUGAUAGUGAACGGAUUUUUUUAGGCGACCUAACGAUUAGGCCGAGUUGAAUUUCCAACGGAAUGUAGUGUGCCGAAUAUCAAUAGAUUUCACGCGGUCCCUUUCUGUCU